GCAUGUGAGGGUGAUCUGGCCGCCACAGCUGUCACCCACUGAUCACCGGGGCUGGGCUGGCUGGUGAGGCGGGUGUCCCCUCCUCCCGCACUGACCCACCUGGGUCCCUGCGAGGCUGCAUGCUCACCUUCCCGAGAAGGGAGGCCUUUCCUUCAGCCCAGGGUCUCCGGGCAGCUGCGCUCCCUGCUAGGACCUCCCAAGGAGCUCUCAAAAUCGUUUCAUGAUGUGGAUGCGAUGCCUUCAGAACAUAACUCUUGUUUAUGUGGUAAAACUGGUUUCAU
rnacentral:snRNA from 1 species